rnacentral:rRNA from 1 species
UACGUAGGGCGCAAGCGUUGUCCGGAAUUAUUGGGCGUAAAGGGCUCGUAGGCGGUUGUCACGUCGGGAGUGAAACUCAGGGCUCAACCCUGAGCGUGCUUCCGAUACGGGCAGACUAGAGGUAUGCAGGGGAGAACGGAAUUCCUGGUGUAGCGGUGGAAUGCGCAGAUAUCAGGAGGAACACCGGUGGCGAAGGCGGUUCUCUGGGCAUUACCUGACGCUGAGGCGCGAAAGCGUGGGGAGCGAACAGG